AACGCUAGCUACAGGCUUAACACAUGCAAGUCGAGGGGCAGCAUUAGGUAGCAAUACUGAGAUGGCGACCGGCGCACGGGUGCGUAACGCGUAUCCAACCUUCCCGUUACUCUUGGAUAGCCUUCCGAAAGGGAGAUUAAUACAAGAUGGUAUUCAAAUUCCGCAUGUUAUUUGAAUUAAAGAUUUAUCGGUAACGGAUGGGGAUGCGUGACAUUAGGUAGAUGGCGGGGUAACGGCCCACCAUGCCCACGAUGUCUAGGGGUUCUGAGAGGAAGGUCCCCCACACUGGAACUGAGACACGGUCCAGACUCCUAUGGGAGGCAGCAGUGAGGAAUAUUGGUCAAUGGCCGGAAGGCUGAACCAGCCAAGUAGCGUGAAGGAUGAAGGUUCUAUGGAUUGUAAACUUCUUUUAUACGGGAAUAAAACCACCUACGUGUAGGUGCUUGUAUGUACCGUAUGAAUAAGCAUCGGCUAACUCCGUGCCAGCAGCCGCGGUAAUACGGAGGAUGCGAGCGUUAUCCGGAUUUAUUGGGUUUAAAGGGAGCGUAGACGGGAUGUUAAGUCAGUUGUGAAAGGCUGCGGCUCAACCGCAGCACUGCAGUUGAUACUGGCGUCCUUGAGUGCGGUUGAGGUAUGUGGAAUUCGUGGUGUAGCGGUGAAAUGCUUAGAUAUCACGAAGAACUCCGAUUG
rnacentral:rRNA from 1 species